AUCUAUGGCCAUGCCAACCUGAACGUGUCUGAUCUCGUCUGAUCUCAGAAGCUAAGCAGGGUCAGGCCUGUUUAGUUCUUAGAUAGGAGACCACCUAGGAAGACCAGGUGCUGUAGGUG
rnacentral:rRNA from 1 species